rnacentral:rRNA from 1 species
UACAGAGGAUGCAAGCGUUAUCCGGAAUGAUUGGGCGUAAAGCGUCCGCAGGUGGCGAUGUAAGUCUGCUGUUAAAGAGUCUAGCUCAACUAGAUAAGAGCAGUGGAAACUACAUAGCUAGAGUACGUUCGGGGCAGAGGGAAUUCCUGGUGUAGCGGUGAAAUGCGUAGAGAUCAGGAAGAGCACCGGUGGCGAAGGCGCUCUGCUAGGCCGUAACUGACACUGAGGGACGAAAGCUAGGGGAGCGAAUGGG